GGGGGUGUACUGGCUUCGACGUGAUCAAAGUCAUUGAGAUUGCAUGUCGAGCGUUGACUGAGUGCUCGUAAAACAAUCAGGCAAAAACAAUACAUGGCAACCAAUUUGGUGCUAGCCCAUUAGCUAUUGCGUAAGCUUAGUUAAUUGGUUCUUGUAAACAUGGGCCCGCUCAUUGGUUCGGUUUACUCGUAUUAUCCAUAUGAGUCUUACAAGCAAGAUUUGAUACAUAGUAGCUUGUAAGGUACUACCAUGUAUCCUCUGAGCAUUAACCACUUUUCUGAGGUGUGCAUGGCGAUCAAUCAGAAAAUAAACAUGUAGACGUUUCAGUGAAUUUUUUUGCGGACAUGGGUUCGACUCCCAUCACCUCCACCA
rnacentral:tmRNA from 1 species